rnacentral:RNase_P_RNA from 1 species
GAAGCAAGUAUGAAAGACGGUUGCGAGUCCAUUGGACUCGAGGAAAGUCCGAGCUCCAUAGGGCAGGAUGCCAGAUAACGUCUGGCGAGGGUGACCUUAGGGAAAGUGCCAUAGAAAAGGAAACCGCCACGUCAGUGGUAAGGGUGGAAAGGUGAGGUAAGAGCUCACCAGCAGUCUGGUAACAGGCUGGCUCGGUAAACCCCAUCCGGAGCAAGACCGAAUAGGGAAGGGUGCGCAAGCGGAACAGAACUCGGCUUAAUGAUUGCUUGCUUCUUAU